UAAGGGUCUGGUGUUGGAUGAGAACUCGGUGAAGAAGCUGACUACUCUCCAGCUGUCAGCUACAGACCAGGACAGUGAGCCUGGAGAACUGGUGUAUCGCAUCACCAAGCAGACUGCACUGGGACACCUGGAGCACGCCAGAACCCCAGGAAGCCAAAUUACUUCCUUCUCCCAGGCUGACCUGGCUUCACGUAGCAUCCAGUACGUUCACACCAGCGAAGAAGAGAAGCACACAGACGAGUUCUCAUUCAUAGUAUCUGACGGGGCUAAUGAGGUUGCCCAGACGUUCACCAUCACCAUCCGGCCGGUGGAUGACUCC